rnacentral:misc_RNA from 1 species
GGUGAAGAACGUAGUGAAAUGCGAUAAGUAGUGUGAAUUGCAGAAUUCAGUGAAUCAUCGAAUCUUUGAACGCACAUUGCGCCCCUUGGUAUCCCGAGGGGCAUGCCUGUUCGAGCGUCAUUUCACCACUCAAGCCUGGCUUGGUGUUGGGCGACGUCCCCUUUGGGGACGCGCCUCGAAACGCUCGGCGGCGUGGCACCGGCUUUAAGCGUAGCAGAAUCUUUCGCUUUGGAAGUCGGGGCCCCGUCUGCCGGAAGACCUACUCGCAAGGUUGACCUCGGAUCAGGCAGGGAUACCCGCUGAACUUAAGCAUAUCAAUAAGCGGAGGA